rnacentral:rRNA from 1 species
AUUGAACGCUGGCGGCAGGCUUAACACAUGCAAGUCGAGCGGGGGAGGUUGCUUCGGUAACUGACCUAGCGGCGGACGGGUGAGUAAUGCUUAGGAAUCUGCCUAUUAGUGGGGGACAACAUUCCGAAAGGAAUGCUAAUACCGCAUACGCCCUACGGGGGAAAGCAGGGGAUCGUCGGACCUUGCGCUAAUAGAUGAGCCUAGGUCGGGUUAGCUAGUUGGUGGGGUAAAGGCCUACCAAGGCGACGAUCUGUAGCGGGUCUGAGAGGAUGAUCCGCCACACUGGGACUGAGACACGGCCCAGACUCCUACGGGAGGCAGCAGUGGGGAAUAUUGGACAAUGGGCGGAAGCCUGAUCCAGCCAUGCCGCGUGUGUGAAGAAGGCCUUUUGGUUGUAAAGCACUUUAAGCGAGGAGGAGGCUCUUAAGGUUAAUACCCUUGAUGAGUGGACGUUACUCGCAGAAUAAGCACCGGCUAACUCUGUGCCAGCCGCCGCAGUAAAAC